GCCGUGAGUCGACGAAGGGAGCGCGGGCGCGCGCCCGCGUCCGCGCACUGAGAGUCGCCUCGGCCGCUCGCUUUCUCGACUCCCGCCUCGCGCCUCGAUCCUGUUCCGCCUCCCUCGGCCCUCCUGCCCGCCCCCACUCGUCGGCCCUCAGGUUCCUGGAAAGUGAAAAUUUCAUUUCUUUGUGGACAGCUCAGAGACCUAAUAGGAUGGGGUCUUAGAGAAACAUCUUUUGAGCCACAGACUUCUUUGUUACCAGAAGGAAAAUGAAAGAAGAAAUUUAAAUACCACUUGAAGAGAGUUUCCUCAUCAGCAAAGUCAGAAAAAGUAUGUACCUGAAGGACUGAUUGUAAGGCUGGGAUGAGAGAAUCCAUGUGAUCAGCCCUCACCAACAGGUGCUGCCCAGUUCAUGAGUGCUGCUGCUGUCCUGCCCAAGUACCCAGCUUGCAGAGUGCCAGAGUUAGAGUCCCAGGGGUGUUCUCCACAGCUGCAUGCUUGAUCCAGGCCUAUCAGGUGUUAUUUGUUGACGGAACCAGGCAUCAUCAGCAAACAAAACUGACAAAGCUUCCUGCCCUCUGUGGAAGGCAUCUGAGGAAGAGACUGGAUUUUGUAGCAACAUGUUAUUCUCAUUAUAAACUUUAUCAUUGGAAUACUAAAGCCAAAUCAUCCCCCAUCUCCUUGAUCAGGAUACCCACUUAAUCUAGGCAGCUACACAAUUGUGAGAGCCUUUGUUUUUUUCUGCUGAAACAUCCUUAAAAAGAUACCUCACAACCCAAGAUUUGGCUUUUCUUAAAUACGAUUUUUAAUUUUUUUCAUUUCUAUCUAGAGAUUUAAUUGGAAAUGGAAAAUCAUCAAUUUUCCAAUUAAAUGUCUGUUCCAAUCAACAUUAUACCUUUUAGGUUGUCAUUGUCAUUUUUAAGUUUAAGCAACUUUAAGGAUUUUGAAUCUGGCUGCCUGUAAAUUAAAGGUGAAAGUAAUCAUUGUGUUGGAUUGGAACAUUUUGUCAAUUGAGAGUGGUUUCCUUGUUCUUAGUGUAUGAAAAGUUUAUUUUUCUAAUGUAGAUUAAUAAAGGAGAUAAAGAAAAACAAAA
rnacentral:lncRNA from 1 species